rnacentral:rRNA from 1 species
CCUGGCGGCGAGUGGCGAACGGGUGAGUAAUAUAUCGGAACGUACCCAAGAGUGGGGGAUAACGUAGCGAAAGUUACGCUAAUACCGCAUACGAUCUAAGGAUGAAAGUGGGGGAUCGCAAGACCUCAUGCUCCUGGAGCGGCCGAUAUCUGAUUAGCUAGUUGGUAGGGUAAAGGCCUACCAAGGCUACGAUCAGUAGCUGGUCUGAGAGGACGACCAGCCACACUGGAACUGAGACACGGUCCAGACUCCUACGGGAGGCAGCAGUGGGGAAUUUUGGACAAUGGGCGCAAGCCUGAUCCAGCAAUGCCGCGUGAGUGAAGAAGGCCUUCGGGUUGUGAAGCUCUUUUGUCAGGGAGGAAACGGUGAGGGCUAAUAUCCUUCACUAAUGACGGUACCUGAAGAAUAAGCACCGGCUAACUACGUGCCAGCAGCCGCGGUAAUACGUAGGGUGCAAGCGUUAAUCGGAAUUACUGGGCGUAAAGCGUGCGCAGGCGGUUUUGUAAGUCUGAUGUGAAAUCCCCGGGCUCAACCUGGGA